AGUUCGGAUUGAAGGCUGAAAUUCGCCUUCAUGAAGCCGGAAUUGCUAGUAAUGGCAGGUCAGCAUACUGCCGUGAAUACGUUCCCGGGCCUUGUACACACCGCCCGUCACACCAUGAGAGUUGGGGAUACCCGAAGCCUGUGAGCCAACUAUACGAGGCAGCAGUCGAAGGUAGAAUCAAUGAUUGGGGUGAAGUCGUAACAAGGUACC
rnacentral:rRNA from 1 species